rnacentral:pre_miRNA from 1 species
AGCGAGGUAUAGAGUUCCUACGUCUUGUCACUGAUUUCAAGUCGAUCGGUAGGAACUUCAUACCGUGCUCU